rnacentral:rRNA from 1 species
UACGGAGGGUGCGAGCGUUAAUCGGAAUUACUGGGCGUAAAGCGCAUGCAGGUGGUUUGUUAAGUCAGAUGUGAAAGCCCGGGGCUCAACCCCGGAAGGUCAUUUGAAACUGGCAAACUAGAGUACUGUAGAGGGGGGUAGAAUUUCAGGUGUAGCGGUGAAAUGCGUAGAGAUCUGAAGGAAUACCAGUGGCGAAGGCG